UUUUAACCUAGAUGGGCAACGUUCAGCGAAUGAACAAUUGGAAGCACUAAAUCCAGUUCCACCAGCAAGGGUAUUUGUGUCUGACACGCAAUCGGGCUGGCAGUACUUGAACUACGCUAACAUAAGUAUAACUGCUGGAGAUCCGUACAACAUCACAUGUGGGGCAAAUAGGGCUAGGCCUCCUGCAGUUCUGCAAUGGCUAAUACCAGAGGAUGUGCCCGUUGUUAAUCACGAUCAGUCUGAUGACAUUCAAGACGGAUAUUACAUCUCUCGUAAAAAUUUGACAAUCACACCCACCAGAAACGAUCACGGAAAGAUCAUCAGCUGCAUCGUAUCACACCAAGAUCUACAAAGGACUAUUAAAUACUUAGUUACUCUGAAUGUUCGUGUUCUACCAACCAGUGUGCUCCUCUUUCUAACUGGAGGUAACCAGUCACUAUCAACAAUCCUAUACGUUCAAGAAGAUUCACCGACUUCAAUCACUUGUAAAAGCAUCGGGUAAUUCCCAGCAACUGAGCUAUCAUUUUGGUUAGUUGGCGACCUUGACAGGACUUGGAUCCAUGCAAAUGUAUCAAGAAGUAUGAGUGUUUUAGACGACACUUUAUUUGACACCGAAAGUACCAUAACCAUAAUGCCAGAUGUCACAAAUCAUGGAAUGCACAUUCUGUGUUCCUUCGAUAUAGACGAUGCCUUAUUUGUUAAAGUGGUCGCAGUUAGACUAAUUGU